UGUAAGGUCCACAUUGCACA
rnacentral:siRNA from 1 species